rnacentral:snoRNA from 1 species
CGUUUGCUAUGAUGAAAAAAAUCAUUCAGUUAUCCCUGUCUUAAUCGUCCGUGUUGAUCUUUUAAUUAGACUCUGAGCAAUCU